CGUCGCGCUACAGUUCACACACUUGGUUCUGCGCACCGAAGAUGCCAUUUUGGCCAAAAUAACGAGCGGAUUCAAACAGCUCCCCGACACGAAUGACCGCAGGCCCUCCUACGACGUCUCGUCGAGAGCCGAGGCGACGUGUCAGAAACAGGAUUUCCACCCUCCGUCCCGAGUCCCACAGUUACGGAUCUCACUUUGAGCGAUAAACGUAAAAACGGCGCGAGCAUCGGCUGGACACCGCAGGUGCCCGCCUUCCCACAGGGGCUUCGAACUUGAAGGAAGAGCACAUUUAGUCCCGUCAGUGUGUGACGAUCGAUGCGCUGCAAGGUGCAGCCGUUGGACCGUAAACGAGGAAACCGCCAAAACGAAGGUCCUUCAACGUACGGACCUGGAGGCUGGUUUGUGCUCUAGGGUGAAGGGAUUUGGGUUGACCGGGGGUGGCCAGAUUUGAGAUGGGUGGGUGACACAAAGCAGCUCAGCGUGGUCUAAAUCUGGGUUUAUGUUCUGUGUGGAAGCGUCACCCCCCUCCCACCCCACCCCACGAUGAGUUCCUGCAUACGGUGCAAUGCGGUGCAAUGAGCAGCACAGCUAGUUUCAGGGACCACAGAACUUCCCCUCCCAACACUCUCCGCCAGCGUGUGGGGCACGUGGGAGGAAGCUCUGCAAGGUCGGCCGGGUCCCAAGAGGACUGAUGCGCUCACGAUGGAACGGUUCGUAGCUGCGUGACGACGGCGCGGAAGGAGUAGCGCACGUCUGCGCCGUCACAUGACCCCCCCCUGCCUCGCUCAUCUGGGACCUGGAACCUGGACCCUACUCCAAAAACAACGCUGGCGAACGUUCGCCACCGAGAAGAAAGUAAAUGCCACAACAUCCAGCUGCCACUGCCUAGGAAAGCAAAAUUCACUUUGUCCAUCAACCGUCAGAUCGACGCUCAGUCGAGACAGCAGCGGAAGGAUGCUGUGCCCCCGAACGCGUCGCCAUGACAACAGAGACCGUGCGAGUCCAGACGGCUCGGCGACCGUCCCUCCUCGGCUUUCGUCCGCGCUUUCCAGGACAUCGUACGGCCUCCGUACGCGAGUUCUUCAUCUGGGAGGUGAGCCGAUCCACCCGCUUCCCGCGAACGGGUCAUUUCCUGCCGGAACGAAGAGCUUAUUUCAGCUCUAAGAUGAAUGGCGCUCGAGAGCGGAAGGCACGAUCCAAACAGCCAUCGGAGAUCAUUCCCCCAGAAGCUUCGAGAGGUUCAUUUUAAGGGGCUUCGAGAAGAGAAGGUCCAAGUUGCUUUUGUUGCUCAAACGAGACAGGAGAGAAAGCAAAGGGGCCGACGCCGGCCGAGGGGUGGGGCGUGGGGGUGGCAGUAAACCCGGAGGGGACGGAAUCGUGAUCGGCUUUCAUUAGCAGAGGUCAAGUGCUGUGGGCGAAGGCUCUCGUCCGCCGGGUUUGCAAUGAUCCCAGUAAGAAGACAGGAAGUGAGCGGAGACCCCUGGGAUAAGUGCCAUGUCCACAGUGUGGUCCUCAAGAACGAGGGGGGUAAAAAAAAAAAAAAAAACUCAAAAAGACACAAGUGUCUUGGAAAAAAAAAAAUUGACGGCUUGCUCCCGGCUGCGAACGCGUCCCUUUCCACGCUCGUUGCCGAGGAUCGUUUGGCAGGAAGGCGAAGAAAGACGCUUUCGUGGAGCGCGAAUGAGAAGGAGCGAAGGAGCCGCUCGGGACGAACGGGGCUCCGUGGAGCGGCUGCGGAGUCGACGGUACGGCCUCUCGAUUGAGAAACAAUUCCCUGGUCCACGUGGGGGAAACCGAUAUCUGCUUUGACUGGUAAACGACAAAACACGUCCAUAAACCACUAAAUGAACAUCGCUAAUGACCACAGGGUCCCCAAAGCCGAUCGAAAACCAAUCCGCUACUCAACCUCGACCAAAAUAUGCCGAACAUCAUUUCUUCUAAAAUUAUUGCGCAAUUUUCCCACACUGUUUUCCUUUAUUGACAUAUGUGGGUUAGUGGGCAAAUCUUAUUAAACAGGAAGUGUGGUUUAUAACUGGUGAGAAAAGACCAGCAGAAUAUAAAUGAAAAAAAGCGACAAUUGAAGAAUAAUUAUGCGGCUUCUUAAGGAAACCGAUCCAAUUACGGACCCUCGAACUGUUCAUUUCCCAUUAGAAAUAAACUCAUUGGAAGAACUGGAUCGCUUUUGCUG
ensembl:lncRNA